CUAAAAGGCCAUGCCAUAUAAACUAUGAGGCAAAAGCUUUGAUUGAAAAAAUCCUAACAACAAAGCCUGGUGGUGAACACAUCAUACAAGAGUAUGCAAAAACCAAAUCUCUGACAGAUGCAACUAGAAGACAGAUGAUAAACAUACUUGCUGCUGAGAUGACAGAAGCACAUGGGACAUCUCCCCCUAAAAGUGUAAGAGUGAUGUAUGCGCAGGGGAUUGUUGCUCUGUUUCCAUAUCUGGAAGACCCAUAUUCACAACAUGGAUAUAACAUUACUAUGAUCCAGAGAGCGGUUCAGGAUACCUUGCGUGGCGGUUGAAGACAAUUCAAAGAAAAGCUGCAGAGGAAAGAAGUGUCUCACUUUCCAAAUCUCCUAAAAUUGGCGGGCCAGGCCGUGGUCGAUCCAGACCACUCACCACUGAGACAGUGUUAUCAGAUGAGGAUGUAAAAGCAGCUAUUGCUCUUUUGAGACACUCUGCUGAUGAAGACACUAUCCGUGAAAAGAUGAAAGCUACCUUCAUUUAUCGGCAUUCAAUGGUCAGCGAUGAUAAGAAUGCAGCAGAUGUCUUCAUAGUCUUCCCGCGGUUUCUGGACACACCA